rnacentral:lncRNA from 1 species
AGCAUGGUGUCUCUUGAUAACGAGGUAGUGGAUGGAAAGGUGGUUCCUGCUGAAGAUUAAACGAUUCUCUCCAUCUGCUACCUUCGUGCCUUUUCCUUGCAUAUACUUUUGUAAUAAACUCACAUUUUCUUGGACAUGUAUUUACCAAGUUGGCGUGUAUUCUCUUGAACUGAUACUUUGCUCAAUGAAGUUACUUUCGCAUUUCUUCUUGUAACCCCUUUGUUUACCUUUAACUUUCCUUGCAUGAUUUACUUUCAACGAAAUAACCUAGUAAUCUCGUAGGCACGAUCUUGUACUUGGCUGUUUCGAACCAUCUCAACUUCGAAUAAUAAUCACAUUGAUCAACUCGUAACUUAAGGCAAUAAACCUUAGCGUAAAAUGAUACCUUAAGCAAUGGACUUUAACUCAACCCCUGGCUUUAUAACACCGCUACACCCGAUCUGCUUCAUCAAAGCGGGUUUUUGACUUCUCUCCAUUGCUUGUUCGUUUCCUGGUCGCCAGGGACUCUUGGCAACACCAGCUUCUUCCUGCCUUCACUCCUUGGCCAUUGCUCUUUCAUCUGGGGGUAGAGGCGCCUUUCGGAUCCUUCUCCACCUCCUUUCGCUUCAGAGCAAGAGACCGGGUGGCUAGGCGUUCUCUUCGAACCUGCCUUAGCCACCCUCAGAACUUCUUCCACCCUAUACACCAUACCUGCACCCGUUCGAGACGAGAAGGAUUUUAUCUUGCCUGAACUAGCUCAUAGGCGAGAAGGUCUUUUACUCGCCUGAACUCGCUCAUAGGCGAGAAGGUCUUUGAAUCGUGCCUCUACAUUGCCCC